CAACUCUGUAGUCUAGUCCUGAUCACUCAUUCACAAUGCAGAAACAGACAGAUUUUUCUAGCUUUUCGGUUGCAGCUAGCAAUAAACGGACCAAUCCAUUAUGGAAAAAAGAAAAGGGGAUGCCUAUUGCUUAAGGAUGAAGGCAAUUUUUCUACUAUUUCUUUUCCUAUCUAAUGAAAAUAAGUGAAUCAGGAAAGUCAAGGGUGUGUGUGAGAGAGUGAGCAGAGAAAUAACCUCUACACAGUUGGCAAGAAAAGAAAAGAGAAUGGAACAGAAAUCCUGGGUGUGUCAUGUAACUGACAAAAGUAAAGUAGUACAACCUGCAGAUGUGCAAUCACUUGCCAGAAAUGAUGUUAGCAGAUGCAAUCUUUUCAAAACAAACAUAUUAAUGGACUGAUUUUAAAGAGCACUACCAAGAAAUCUGAAACUUGAAGAAAAUGGAUAUACACCUAUAUGUUGUAAUAAAACCAUGCUUCUUGCCUAAUUCUGGGUGUUGGCUUCUACCCUGCUUUUUUGUGUAACUUUAUGAACAUUUUAUGACAUAAUCAGAUCCUAGUUGCUGAAAGUAAACUGCACAGGAAAUUAAUGGCAGAGCCUUCCAAAUUUCAUGGGAUAAAACAACUGAUUUAUGUCAGGAAAAGGAACCUCUAGGCCCAAAUUCAGAAACCAGCUGCAAAGCAAAAGCACUGAUCUCAACUAGGAAUAUAACAUCAUAUUUGCUUCCAACAACUGUUGUGCCCUUUAAAAAAAAUUAUGGAAGAGAGCAGUUAGUGAAGAAUAACUGACGUUUCUGAUAGGGAUGCCCUAAGUUACAGACUUGCAUCUCUGUUGUGUUCCUUCCAAGGAGUAUCUAUGCCAAUAGAACAGCACAGUAAAUAAUAAUAUGAUAAAUUUCCGCUCUGCAUUUCAGGCCACAAAGAGACCAAGACUAAUAAAAAUUGUUGCCAGGUAAUGUUUUGGAGUUAAUUCUUGAGACAGAGAGAUGUGUGUGUGUGUCUGUGUAUGGGUGUGCCUUUGUUAAAAGCCUUUCAAUUUUCAACCAGUGAGCAAACUGGAUAGCUUCCAAGAUGAUCCAACCUUUGGAUUACGACAAUGACUCAGUGUUCUUUCUAAAAGGACGGGGGGGAAAAACCCCUGAAUUU